ACCUGUUGGUCCACCGAUGGUUUUGCGCUUCCCCUCGUCAUCGUCCGCCGCCCGAUGUUGUGUUCGUGAUGUACGGCGAUUUCGCACCGGAGAAAGCCACACGAGCCUUUCUCGGUUCGCCGCCGUCAUUCUCUCUUCUCUCUCGUCCUAUACCUCGCCUAAUCUUUGGUGGGAAGCCUGCCUCCGAGAUGAAACCCUAGCCCGCGGUCUCUUUCGUCCUCUGACAUUUCGCUCCAAUCGCCGCAGUUCAAGUACGUCGUAGCUACGGUUCGAAUGGCGUGGAAAGAUUCGACCUCCUGUUGCUUUCUUGGUUGAAUUUUUUGCGCAGUUCCAGGAGUGCAAAAAGGCGGUUUCGAGGAGCAGCAUGGGGAUGAUUUAGGUUCCCAAUUCGAAGAUAUCAUCGAUCACAUGUGGCAAGUGUGAUUUCCGUUGCUCUCAAUUGAUGAGGGAAGGUAUCAUUUACGGUCUGGACCUGGGCAGUCGGCAGUGAUAUCCUCCGAGAUAAAAACCUUAAGCUCCCGAGGUGUCAAUUGAAGACCGAGGUUGGAAGAGAUUUUGGUACUCGUGCGGACGUCGAUAGUCAAAAUAAAAGGCCAUUUUACAUAAGAAGCUUGUUUAGAGUGGUGUAUUCAUGGCAUAAUGGCUGGUGAGCAAAUGACUAGUGUAACAUGAUCAACUCUGCAAGCAAUGAGGUGCAUUAACCACAUUUGCAAAUAUCACAAAAAGAUCAAGGAAUUGCAAGGAGUUGAGGAGCAUCUGAAAAAUCAAUAGAAACUAUUAGUUACUGGGCCAAUGGGCACAUCAACUCAUAGCUUGUGCAAGCCAUCCAUGAACAAACAUCUGACCGCACAAGGUUGUUGAAUUAUCUGCAGAUGGCCGAUGAUGAUUGGCAAAUAAGAUGUCUGCAGACUUGUUCCAAGGGCAAACACUUGGAGCUGAUAUUACUCUUACAAUCAAUGGGCUAUGGGCUAUGGGAGGGGCGGACAUGACUAGGCGAGGACAGAUUUGACAUCGAAGACCUUCAAGAGAAGUAUCAAAUCUCAGCCAUGCUUGGCCUCGGAGUUCCGCCAUCAACACACCACAUGAUGCUGGCUCGUUACUAUCGAUCACCAGCAAUUUUUCCACCGGUCUGUUCAAAUCAGUAGCGACGACCGCGGGUUGAUUUAAAAUGUGGUCAAGUCCAACUCGCACGCAUGGAAAAAGGGAAGAGAGAGAGAGUGAGAGAGAGUCCAUGAUCAACGUGGAAUACUGGUCGGAGGGCAUUUAUCACGGACAUGUCGUUGUCCGAUCCCUUGUUGGUUUUGGAUGGAUGAGGAGAAGCGUGAGUUGUGAGUGUAGAAGGCUUCUCAUCUACAAACCUUUUGGAUCCACUUUCUUAGGAGUACAAUGGUGAAGUGACGAUGAAGAUAAUGCAAUGCGUGUCAUGAGCUUGGGUAUUAAGAUAAUUUUGAAUGCUUAAUUAAGUUUGACCUCUAUGGUUCUCAUCA